GGCAACCCUGACGGAGCAACGCCGCGUGUGGGAGGACGGCCUUCGGGUUGUAAACCACUUUUCUCAGGGAAGAAGGACUGACGGUACCUGAGGAAUCAGCCUCGGCUAACUCCGUGCCAGCAGCCGCGGUAAUACGGAGGAGGCAAGCGUUAUCCGGAAUUAUUGGGCGUAAAGCGUCCGCAGGGGGCACAUCAAGUCUGCUGUUAAAGGCUGGAGCUUAACUCCGGUAGAGCAGUGGAAACUGGUGUGCUAGAGGGCGACAGGGGUAGAGGGAAUUCCCGGUGUAGCGGUGAAAUGCGUAGAUAUCGGGAAGAACACCAGUGGCGAAGGCGCUCUACUGGGCCGCGACUGACGCUGAGGGACGAAAGCUAGGGGAGCG
rnacentral:rRNA from 1 species